CUAAGUGUGAAACUCGCCUCGAGAUGAGAUUUCCCAUUUCCUUCGGGAAAGUAAGACCCCUCAGAGAUGAUGAGGUAGAUAGGAUGGAAGUGGAAGUGCCGUGAGGCAUGGAGCGGACCAUUACUAAUCGGUCGAGGACUUAACCAAG
rnacentral:rRNA from 1 species